rfam:Danio rerio chromosome 13, GRCz11 reference primary assembly.
UGCCUCCUGACUUGUAAGUCGCUUUGGACAAAAGCAUCUGCUAAAUGACGAACA